CAAGUACCAUGAGGGAAAGAUGAAAAGGACUUUGGAAAGAGAGUUAAAAGUGCCUGAAAUUGCUGAAAGGGAAGCGAAUGGAACCAGUGCUCUUGGCGAGAUUGUUGUGCGCUAUGGUGAUUGCUGGCUGCUUCAGCGCAAGCGAGGUAGUUGGUACUGAGCCUGACGCGCGCAGUGUUUCUUACCUUGUGCGUCACCGUCGGUUCACAGGCGAGGAUACUUCUGAGGACAUGGUAACUCUUCCACGGAGGUGUGAAUGUCUUUGGUAAUACUCGUUUGUAGACCGCUCACCUUCGGGUUACGAUGACUAAAUGGUUCUAUUCGACCCGUC
rnacentral:rRNA from 1 species